rnacentral:rRNA from 1 species
ACCCGCUGAACUUAAGCAUAUCAAUAAGCGGAGGAAAAGAAACCAACAGGGAUUGCCUCAGUAACGGCGAGUGAAGCGGCAACAGCUCAAAUUUGAAAUCUGGAGUCUUCGACUUCCGAGUUGUAAUUUGAAGAAGAUGCUUCGGUUGUGGCCUGGGCCUAAGUUCCUUGGAACAGGAUGUCGUAGAGGGUGAGAAUCCCGUACACGGCUGCAGGUCUACUUCCAUGUGUAGCACUUUCGAAGAGUCGAGUUGUUUGGGAAUGCAGCUCAAAAUGGGUGGUAAAUUUCAUCUAAAGCUAAAUAUUGGCGAGAGACCGAUAGCGCACAAGUAGAGUGAUCGAAAGAUGAAAAGCACUUUGAAAAGAGAGUUAAACAGUACGUGAAAUUGUUGAAAGGGAAGCGCUUGCAAUCAGACUUGCUUUCAGUUGAUCAAUGUUCCUUUUGGUUCAUGCACUCUGCUGUUUGCAGGCCAGCAUCAGUUGAAGCGGUGGGAUAAAGACUUCAGGAAUGUGGCUCCUUUCGGGGAGUGUUAUAGCCUGUUGUGUAAUGCCACCAGCCUUGACUGAGGACCGCGGUUUUUAACCUAGGAUGCUGGCUUAAUGGUUGUAAGCGACCCGUCUUGAAACACGG